UGGCGGCGUGCCUAAUACAUGCAAGUUGAGCGAUAAAGGUUGGUACUUGUACCGACUGGAUGAGCAGCGAACGGGUGAGUAACGCGUGGGGAAUCUGCCUUUGAGCGGGGGACAACAUUUGGAAACGAAUGCUAAUACCGCAUAAAAACUUUAAACACAAGUUUUAAGUUUGAAAGAUGCAAUUGCAUCACUCAAAGAUGAUCCCGCGUUGUAUUAGCUAGUUGGUGAGGUAAAGGCUCACCAAGGCGAUGAUACAUAGCCGACCUGAGAGGGUGAUCGGCCACAUUGGGACUGAAACACGGCCCAAACUCCUACGGGAGGCAGCAGUAGGGAAUCUUCGGCAAUGGACGAAAGUCUGACCGAACAACGCCGCGUGAGUGAAGAAGGUUUUCGGAUCGUAAAACUCUGUUGGUAGAGAAGAACGUUGGUGAGAGUGGAAAGCUCAUCAAGUGACGGUAACUACCCAGAAAGGGACGGCUAACUACGUGCCAGCAGCCGCGGUAAUACGUAGGUCCCGAGCGUUGUCCGGAUUUAUUGGGCGUAAAGCGAGCGCAGGUGGUUUAUUAAGUCUGGUGUAAAAGGCAGUGGCUCAACCAUUGUAUGCAUUGGAAACUUGUAGACUUGAGUGCAGGAGAGGAGAGUGGAAUUCCAUGUGUAGCGGUGAAAUGCGUAGAUAUAUGGAGGAACACCGGUGGCGAAAGCGGCUCUCUGGCCUGUAACUGACACUGAGGCUCGAAAGCGUGGGGAGCAAACAGGAUUAGAUACCCUGGUAGUCCACGCCGUAAAACGAUGAGUGCUAGAUGUAGGGAGCUAUAAGUUCUCUGUAUCGCAGCUAACGCAAUAAGCACUCCGCCUGGGGAGUACGACCGCAAGGUUGAAACUCAAAGGAAUUGACGGGGGCCCGCACAAGCGGUGGAGCAUGUGGUUUAAUUAGAAGCAACGCGAAGAACCUUACCAGGUCUUGACAUACUCGUGCUAUUCCUAGAGAUAGGAAGUUCCUUCGGGACACGGGAUACAGGUGGUGCAUGGUUGUUGUCAGCUCGUGUCGUGAGAUGUUGGGUUAAGUCCCGCAACGAGCGCAACCCCUAUUGUUAGUUGCCAUCAUUAAGUUGGGCACUCUAACGAGACUGCCGGUGAUAAACCGGAGGAAGGUGGGGAUGACGUCAAAUCAUCAUGCCCCUUAUGACCUGGGCUACACACGUGCUACAAUGGAUGGUACAACGAGUCGCGAGACAGUGAUGUUUAGCUAAUCUCUUAAAACCAUUCUCAGUUCGGAUUGUAGGCUGCAACUCGCCUACAUGAAGUCGGAAUCGCUAGUAAUCGCGGAUCAGCACGCCGCGGUGAAUACGUUCCCGGGCCUUGUACACACCGCCCGUCACACCACGGGAGUUGGGAGUACCCGAAGUAGGUUGCCUAACC
rnacentral:rRNA from 1 species